rnacentral:rRNA from 2 species
ACUUAAAUUGAAGAGUUUGAUCAUGGCUCAGAUUGAACGCUGGCGGCAGGCCUAACACAUGCAAGUCGAGCGGUAGCACAGAGAGCUUGCUCUCGGGUGACGAGCGGCGGACGGGUGAGUAAUGUCUGGGAAACUGCCUGAUGGAGGGGGAUAACUACUGGAAACGGUAGCUAAUACCGCAUAACGUCGCAAGACCAAAGUGGGGGACCUUCGG